rnacentral:rRNA from 1 species
GUCUUCUUGGUUUUAUGGGAAGUCUGGCCUGCCCAGUGAGGAUACUUAAACGGCCGCGGUAUUUUGACCGUGCAAAGGUAGCAUAAUCAUUAGUCUUUUAAUAGGAGGCUGGAAUGAAGGGUUUGACGAAGUAAUAGCUGUCUCAUGUUAAUAAUUUAAAACUUAAUUUUUAAGUUAAAAGGCUUAAAUGUCAUUGGAAGACGAGAAGACCCUAUAGAGCUUUAUGGCAUUUUUUAUUUAUUUUUGUUGGUAUUAAUUUUUAUUGUUUAUAAAUUAAGUUGUUUUGUUGGGGUGACAAGAAUAUAUAUCUAACUUUUAUAUUUGUUUUACAUUGAUUUAUGAAUAUUAGAUCCAUUAUUAUUGAUCAUUAGAAUAAGUUACCUUAGGGAUAACAGCGUAAUCCUCUUUUGGAGUUCUAAUUUACAAGAGGGCUUGCGACCUCGAUGUUGGAUUAAGAUAAUAGUUGGGUGUAGUAGCUUAACAUAUAGGUCUGUUCGACCUUUAAAUUCUUACAUGAUCUGAGUUCAGACCGG